GGAUUUGCCCUUCCCACCAGAGCACCGCCAGGUCCAAUCAGAGUUCGACUUGGCACCAUGAAUAAACAUGUGCGCUGUGUUUGGAGGAUCUUGAACCUGAUGAGUGCUGCCCUGCCCAGUCCUUACAAUACUCAUAUUCUGCAUUCUCAUUCCCAAGCUGGAGCACAGUUUCUCACCCACGUGAGAUGCCGAUUCACAAGCGAGUCAUGAGAAGAAGAAAGUUGAGCAAACGGCAGUCAUUUUGCUGAAAAGAAUGGCAGCAGAAACAUUUGGGUUUGGGGCUGCAGGUCCCGAAAACAGUUGCAGCUGUCCACCGGAAAGCUGGCUUCCUGGCAGGGCUGCUCGGUGCCUCGCCAGGCUUGAUCCUGCUCAUCUUUAAGGACCAACUGAGAGACACCCUUCACAGUCUCUCCUCCUCCCAGGUAAGAAUGAGCUGCCUCUCUCUUUCACAAUCUUUAGUAGCUUCUUGGCACGUCCUUCUCCUCACUGACAGAUUGGUUGUGUACAUAUCUGGGCCCUCAAUGAAUGCUCUGGGAGAGAGAAACCUGUUGAGAUCAUACUUUGGGGGAACAAAGUAGGGUAGAAAUACACUGAAGGUUCUAUUUUUCUUCUUGGUGUUAGUUGCGAUACAGACAGCAGGAAAAGUGCUUCAUUGGCCACCUCAUACCCAUUUCACACAGGAAUAGGCUGCACAGAAGAGUCACAAAUAAUUCUGAUCAUGCUUAUACUGAAAGAAUGCCUGGAGCGUCUUCCUAGGUCAAGCAGACCACUCUCUCUGUCCUGGUUCAAACUACUUCUGCCUGACAUGGUAGGAAUGCUCAGCAACCAGACCACCUUAAGCUGCAGAUGCUUCUGCUGUGAAAUAUUUACUGAGGGCUGACAAUGUCCUUGGUGCAGUUCAGAGUAAAGAGGACAUGGUCUUUGCCAACGUAAUAAGUCAAAAUAAGAUAUCUAAGCCAAUAAAAGGAAAUCUCAAGAAGAAAACUGUAGCAACUCAACAGGUAGAUGUUCAGACUCCUGAUGAGAUUUCCUUACUAGGAUGUCUUUAAUACUGAUAACAUGACAUAUUAGAAUGUGAUCAUUUACUCUUAGGAACAAAAAUCUGAACAAGGAUAAACAAAAAAGAGAUAAAAUUUAAAAAGAUAAAAAAGCACACUAAUUUCCCAAUUUACACAGAGUUUAUUAUUUGGAAGUUCAUUUAUAUGUUAGAUGGAAAUUAGGACUUCAUUUUCCUAAAUGCAACAGCUAUAAUUAUAAAACUUAGGGAAAAAAUAUAGAAGUCAGAUGCCCAUGCCCAGGCUAGUCUUAUAAAAGUUUAUUAACUCAGAAGUUAGUUGAACUGUAAUAUAUAAAAUACAGAGGUAUAUUCUACUGACUUUCAUGGCAAAUAUACAAAGCAAACAAACAGCUUUACUAAAUCAGAUUUAAUGUGCUACCAUGGAAUGCAACCACGGUCUAUGACAUUGUUUGUAUAGGAACAUUGCAGUCCUCAGCAUGUUGCAUAGAAAGGCGUAUGUUGGCAGCUCUUUUUCUUGGCUGAGUUACUGGAGUCCUUGGGCAAGUUUAAGUUUAUGGGUCCUGCCUCAACAAGAGCUUUCAUGGUCCCAAGUCAGAGAUAGUUGUGGUGGUGACAUUUCCAUUGGCCCCCUUGUAUUCAUCAGAUGCAAAUAUCAGAUCUCAAAUCCUUUUCUUUUUAUUGUUAUUCACUAGAAGCAUUAAAUUUAUUUUUUAUU